CUUGACCGACCCGAGCCGCAGCGGGCGCCCGGGAUCGCGGUCCUGACCGUAGGUGGCCAGCAGCGCCUGCGCCUC
rnacentral:antisense_RNA from 1 species